rnacentral:rRNA from 1 species
AACGAACGCUGGCGGCAUGCCUAACACAUGCAAGUCGAACGAAGCCUUCGAGCUUAGUGGCGCACGGGUGCGUAACGCGUGGGAAUCUGCCCUUGGGUUCGGAAUAACAGUUAGAAAUGACUGCUAAUACCGGAUGAUGUCUUCGGACCAAAGAUUUAUCGCCCAAGGAUGAGCCCGCGUCGGAUUAGCUAGUUGGUGAGGUAAAGGCUCACCAAGGCGACGAUCCGUAGCUGGUCUGAGAGGAUGAUCAGCCACACUGGGACUGAGACACGGCCCAGACUCCUACGGGAGGCAGCAGUGGGGAAUAUUGGACAAUGGGCGAAAGCCUGAUCCAGCAAUGCCGCGUGAGUGAUGAAGGCCUUAGGGUUGUAAAGCUCUUUUACCCGGGAUGAUAAUGACAGUACCGGGAGAAUAAGCCCCGGCUAACUCCGUGCCAGCCGCCGCCGUAACAC